UACGUAGGGGGCAAGCGUUGUCCGGAAUUAUUGGGCGUAAAGAGCUCGUAGGUGGUUUGUCGCGUUGUUCGUGAAAACUCACAGCUUAACUGUGGGCGUGCGGGCGAUACGGGCAGACUGGAGUACUGCAGGGGAGACUGGAAUUCCUGGUGUAGCGGUGGAAUGCGCAGAUAUCAGGAGGAACACCGGUGGCGAAGGCGGGUCUCUGGGCAGUAACUGACGCUGAGGAGCGAAAGCGUGGGGAGCGAACAGG
rnacentral:rRNA from 1 species